rnacentral:lncRNA from 1 species
GAUGGUAGCUGUGGGCGCAUUUGGGCUAUGUGUUGGAACCCUGGGUAUUGUUGGAGGUCCCUCUUCAUGCUCCUGGUAAUGCGGGCUUUCCUGUUCUGUAGAUGGCUCUGUCCGAUGGGACAGCUUCAGCAUUGUCCGAGUUACUGCCCUGGCACUGAUCGUUUUCCUAGUUUCCGCUCUUUCGCUAGGUCCUUUCCUAGCCUUGAACCAGCUGCCACAAGUCUUCUCCCGACUCUUUCCUUUCAAGAGGGGCCUUUGCCAUGCCUACUGGGCUCCAAACUUCUGGGCCUUGUACAGUGCUUUGGACAAAGCACUGUGUGUAACUGGUUUGGAACUGAAGCUUCUUGAUCCCAGCCAGAUCCCCAGGGCCUCAAUGACAAGUGGUUUGGUCCAGCAGUCCCAGCACACUGUCCUCCCCUCAGUCUCCCCCUCGGCAACCCUCAUCUGCACACUGAUAGCCAUAUUGGGCCCAGAGGCUUUCUCCGAUGCUUGGUUCUUUGUGCCUUAAGUUCCUUCAUGUUUGGGUGGCAUGUCCAUGAAAAAGCCAUACUCCUUGCGAUUCUCCCAAUGAGCCUACUGGCUGUGGAAAAAGCAGGAGAUGCGACAAUUUUUCUGAUUCUGACGACAACCGGACACUAUUCCCUCUUCCCUCUGCUCUUCACUGCACCAGAACUCCCCAUUAAAAUCUUGCUCAUGUCCCUGUUCACUGUGUACAGUAUCUCCUCGCUGAGGACGCUGU